rnacentral:misc_RNA from 1 species
AUGCGAUAAGUAAUGUGAAUUGCAGAAUUCAGUGAAUCAUCGAAUCUUUGAACGCACCUUGCGCUCCUCGGCAUUCCGAGGAGCAUGCCUGUUUGAGUGUCAUUGAAUUCUCAAACCAGUUCCCGCUUGUCAGUGGGAUUGGGUUUGGAUCGGUGGAGGAUGCAUUGGCCACCCCAACUGGGGGGUGAGUUUCCCUUUGCUCCUCUGAAAUGCAGCCGUGGUCACGACGCAGGCGCGCACCCGUUGUGUCGGUAUGAUACAUGUCUUACCUGCUUUCAACGGGUGCUGCACCACACACACACUCUCACGAUUUGACCUCAAAUCAGGCAGGACUACCCGCUGAACUUAA